rnacentral:rRNA from 1 species
UACAGAGACUGCAAGCGUUUAUUCGGAUUCACUGGGCGUAAAGGGUGCGCAGGCGGUUGUGUGUGUCAGGUGUGAAAGCCCGGGGCUUAACCCCGGAAUUGCGCCUGAAACUACAUGACUAGAGCAUUGGAGAGGGUAGCGGAAUUCACGGUGUAGCAGUGAAAUGCGUAGAUAUCGUGAGGAACACCAGAGGCGAAGGCGGCUACCUGGACAAUUGCUGACGCUCAGGCACGAAAGCGUGGGGGAGCAAAAGGG